UAUCAAAACAUCAAAGGACUUGCCGUAUAUUGACUGUACAACGGUAGCAUAAUCAUUAGUCUUUUAAUUGAAGACUUGUAUGAAAGAUUUGAUGAAAUAUUAACUGUCUCUGAUUUAUUUAUAUAAAAUUUAAUUUUUUAGUUAAAAAGCUAAAAUAAAAUUAAAAGACGAGAAGACCCUAUAGAGUUUUAUAAUUAUAAUAAUUAAUAUCUAUUUAUAUAUAAAUAAAGAAAAAUUAUUUUAAUUAUUUUAUUGGGGUGAUAAAAAAAUUAAAAAAACUUUUUUUUUAUUUAAACCCUUAUAAGCGAAAAAAUGAUCCAUUAAUAAUGAUUAUCAGAAAAAAUUACCUUAGGGAUAACACCGUAAUAUUUUUUUUUAGAACAAAACCUAAAAUUAUUUGUCCUCCCGCGCCUUAAUCUACCGAACCCUUUUAGGCAAACUUCCCAAUCCCGAUCAGCCCCACCAUCCAAUUCCAACCAGAUCG
rnacentral:rRNA from 1 species